GCCGGGCAUGGUGGUGUGUGCCUGUAAUCCCAGCUACUUGGGAGGCUGAGGUGGGAGAAUUGCUUGCGCCUGGGAGGCAGAGGUUGCCGUGAGCCGAGAUUAUGCCACUACACUCCAGCCUGGGCGACAGAGUGAGACUCCAUCUCAA
rnacentral:SRP_RNA from 1 species